rnacentral:rRNA from 1 species
CGGAGGAAAGUAGGGGAUCGAAAGACCUUAUGCUUUUGGAGCGGCCGAUGUCUGAUUAGCUAGUUGGUAAGGUAAUGGCUUACCAAGGCGACGAUCAGUAGUUGGUCUGAGAGGACGACCAGCCACACUGGGACUGAGACACGGCCCAGACUCCUACGGGAGGCAGCAGUGGGGAAUUUUGGACAAUGGGCGCAAGCCUGAUCCAGCAAUGCCGCGUGAGUGAAGAAGGCCUUCGGGUUGUAAAGCUCUUUCAGUUGAAAAGAAAAAGCCGUGACUAAUAAUCAUGGUUCAUGACGGUAUCAACAGAAGAAGCACCGGCUAACUACGUGCCAGCAGCCGCGGUAAUACGUAGGGUGCAAGCGUUAAUCGGAAUUACUGGGCGUAAAGGGUGCGCAGGCGGUUCUGUAAGUCAGAUGUGAAAUCCCCGGGCUUAACCUGGGAACUGCGUUUGAAACUACAAGGCUAGA